AUGUCCAGCUUAGUUACAGCUUGGAAUAUGGAGAAUUGUAAGCCAGGGAGUCCCAUACAAAUACUAACUUUUCUGUUUGUCUUGGGUAGCAUUUGUCGCUAGUUCAUGGAGGCUAAUGUUGACUGAGCAUUGUCUGGAGUUUGCUUGAUGGUCCAACCAGCAGCAUAUAUGGAGUCAAAUGUUGAUUGAGGCUCUCUCUGUGAUUCUUGGAAGUUUCUGUUGAAUAGCAUGUAAAAGGCUUUUGGAGGUGAUGAUUCAGAUGUUGGAUCCCCCAGGAUUAAUCUCACAGCAAAAUCAAAAUCAAAUCCUCCUGUAGAUUCUCAGUCACUUAGAGAGUCUGACAUUCAAUUAAAUAUGUUUCUUUUAGAUUUUAUUUUAUUAUUUUAUUUUUUUUAGGAUUUGGGUGAAUUUUAUAAUUUAAAUAUGUUUUUAUGAACAUGUACAAUUUAAUUGUUCUUUGUAAAAUAUUGAAUUU